UUUCUCUCAGGCCUGGUGUUUGAUGCCCGAGUAUCUGGCGGGUGUGUGAUGGAAUCUAGUUUGUAGGUGGCGUUGGUGUUGGUUCUGCCGCGCCGACUAAACGUGGAUCAGUCGCGUGGUUUGGCUGGUGGCGAUUUGACUGUGAUGCUCGUUGACUGUGGUGUUCGGAUUUUGCUGAGACUCCUUCUUGUGACUUGGUAGUGUAGGCGUUCACUAAGGUGACGAAAUCCAACGUUGAUGAUUUGGCUCUGUCACUCUGGCGCUAAAUGGCGUGUUUAGCCACUUUGGAAAGCGAGUUAGGCACUUGGGUAGAACCAUAACUUGGAACUUCGCAACCACGUUCCGUAGUUUAAAUUGGGUCGAUGGAUCCACAGUAGGGUUGAGGCCUAUUAUUGUGUCUACGUUGACGGGCAAAUUGUUUUCGUCCAUGAAUUGGCGCAGGGUGUGCCUGUGGGCUUC